AGGAACCUGCCUUGGAGAGGGGAAUAACACAGUGAAAAUUGUGCUAAUACGCAUGAAGCAGUUGAGUCGCAUGGCUCUGACUGCCAAAGAUUUAUCGCUCUGAGAUGGCCUCGCGUCUGAUUAGCUAGUUGGUGGGGCAACGGCCCACCAAGGCGACGAUCAGUAGCCGGACUGAGAGGUUGACCGGCCACAUUGGGACUGAGACACGGCCCAGACUCCUACGGGAGGCAGCAG
rnacentral:rRNA from 1 species